GGCUCCGUAGUACAAUGGAUAGUACGUGGGUCUCCGGAACCCAAGAUCCAGGUUCGAUUCCUGGCGGAGUCA
rnacentral:tRNA from 2 species